rnacentral:rRNA from 1 species
UGGACGCAAGUCUGAUGGAGCAACGCCGCGUGAGUGAAGAAGGGUUUCGGCUCGUAAAGCUCUGUUGUUAAAGAAGAACGUGGGUAAGAGUAACUGUUUACCCAGUGACGGUAUUUAACCAGAAAGCCACGGCUAACUACGUGCCAGCAGCCGCGGUAAUACGUAGGUGGCAAGCGUUAUCCGGAUUUAUUGGGCGUAAAGCGAGCGCAGGCGGUCUUUUAAGUCUAAUGUGAAAGCCUUCGGCUCAACCGAAGAAGUGCAUUGGAAACUGGGAGACUUGAGUGCAGAAGAGGACAGUGGAACUCCAUGUGUAGCGGUGAAAUGCGUAGAUAUAUGGAAGAACACCAGUGGCGAAGGCGGCUGUCUGGUCUGCAACUGACGCUGAGGCUCGAAAGCAUGGGUAGCGAACAGGAUUAGAUACCCUGGUAGUCCAUGCCGUAAACGAUGAUUACUAAGUGUUGGAGGGUUUCCGCCCUUCAGUGCUGCAGCUAACGCAUUAAGUAAUCCGCCUGGGGAGUACGACCGCAAGGUUGAAACUCAAAAGAAUUGACGGGGGCCCGCACAAGCGGUGGAGCAUGUGGUUUAAUUCGAAGCUACGCGAAGAACCUUACCAGGUCUUGACAUCUUCUGACAGUCUAAGAGAUUAGAGGUUCCCUUCGGGGACAGAAUGACAGGUGGUGCAUGGUUGUCGUCAGCUCGUGUCGUGAGAUGUUGGGUUAAGUCCCGCAACGAGCGCAACCCUUAUUACUAGUUGCCAGCAUUAAGUUGGGCACUCUAGUGAGACUGCCGGUGACAAACCGGAGGAAGGUGGGGACGACGUCAAAUCAUCAUGCCCCUUAUGACCUGGGCUACACACGUGCUACAAUGGAUGGUACAACGAGUCGCGAGACCGCGAGGUUAAGCUAAUCUCUUAAAACCAUUCUCAGUUCGGACUGUAGGCUGCAACUCGCCUACACGAAGUCGGAAUCGCUAGUAAUCGCGGAUCAGCAUGCCGCGGUGAAUACGUUCCCGGGCCUUGUACACACCGCCCGUCACACCAUGAGAGUUUGUAACACCCAAAGCCGGUGGGGUAACCUUUUAGGAGCUAGCCGUCUAAGGUGGGACAGAUGAUUAGGGUGAA